GGGAUUUUUUUUUUAAGCACCAAGGCCAUACUCCAGACCAAUUAAAUUAGGGUCUCAGUGGCCAAGUUUCUCAAACAAAAUCUUCCCAGGUGAAUUCAAUAUACAGUCAAGGUUGUAUAAAUGUAAACACUUUCAGUUUGAGUGAAUGAACGUUCAGGCAGAAAUUUAGUGAUUAACCUAAGGUUACUACUCAUCCAGAGGUUCAAAACCCAAGCUAUGAAGUUUUCAAGUUCUAGUGCAGUGUUAUUGUGUGUCUUUAUACUCUAUGGGAUGAGCUUACUAGGAACCUAUGGUUAGUUUUUUUUUUCCUUUAGUUUUCUUGGUUAUCCCAACCGUAUAGCUCAUCCUCUUUGUAAACUUUACAUACUGUCCUCCAAUUAUGUAGCCAUGAAGCCUUGUUGCCUCUAAAAGGCUUGCUAAGAUGGAACAUGGCAAGAAGAGCUGUUGGUAGAGUGUGUCUUUGGUGUCUUUUUCCAUUUUUCUCUGCAUUUAUGUCUGUGACUUGUGGAUCCCUCCUGUCAGUUUUCAUUUCUACCUCUGUCUCACUUUUCUCCUUUACUGGGAUGGUGCUCAAUGCUACAUGAUUAUGACAGUUUCUUGAGAGAAGAUUCGCAUUUAAGAGGAGCUUGUACCUUUCCUGAGAAAUCAGCUGAUGGUUUGUCCUCAUGACCUUUUUGAGUAUAUCCACUUUCUCAACUCUUAAUAAUAAUAAACCUCUCACCCAAAAUGGAUAUAAGAAGUAUCCAAAAAUUGUUAUUGUAUUUUGGGAAAGACACUUAUUCUCUUUGUAAUCUCUCCUUUCAUGUGGCCUGCUUAUAGACUUUGUAUGAACUUUCUGGAUACCAUGAUAAUUUGUUGCCUUAAAAUGAAUUUAUUGCACUGGGCAGAGGUGUUGCAUACCUUUACUCCCAGCACUUGGGAAGCAGAGUCAUGCAGAUAUCAGAGUUUGAGGUUAGCCUGCUCUAAAAAGUAUGUUCUAGGACAGCCAGGGCAACACAGAGAAACCUUGUUUUGCAAAACCAUAAACCAACCAACCAAAAACAACAACAGAAAAACCAAGAAGAAUGUAUUGGUUACCCAAACAUAUGUUGAUCGUUUUCACAGCUCGCCCUCCCCCUUGCUACAACUGAGUGGAUGUGUUUGAGCCUGCUUGCAGCCAGUCCCUCUGAUGCACUCACUGUACAGUAACUUUUCUGUCCACGAGCAGAUGUCUGUAAAAUAGAUUUAGGAAUUCUUUUGCCAGAUUGUGCUGUGUCCCGCAUAAUCACAUGUUUUCCUGUAAACCAGGAAUUGACUCUAGGAUUUCCUACAUAUGUUGGCUCACCUCUUCAACUGUAGGAUAUGGUACAUUGUAUUCAAUUGUAAAAUGGAGCCAGAUAAAAACAUCUGACCUAGUCUCAUAGUUAAAGGUCUUGCUAGUGCACUCACUGGAACAAGUUUGUGAUGUUUGUCUUUGACCUGAAUCAAGUAUCUGCCUUUCUUUAUGGAGUGUCUUCCUAAAAAUGGAAUGUGAAACACAUUUUUCAGAGUUGACUCAUAUUUUAAUAACUGUAGAUUAUAUCUGAUUUGCUAAACCUUGAAUGGAUUUACUCUAGAACAAAUUCUAUAGUGAUCCCUUAAUGUCUUUUACUUUUUCUGCAAGUUUGCAAAGUUAAAUAAAAUUUUAGCUUGAAUUGGAAGGUGUAGUCAUUGUUAAACUAAUUCAAUUUGUACUUCUUCAUAUAUAAUGUAUACAUUCUAUUUUAUCCUAUUAAAUAUGCUUUGACAUUGUUUGCUAUUGGUAGAAUACAUAGUACUUCUUGUGUUUGCUGUGGAGUAUAUAGCAAAGUAUUGGUUAGGAAUAGCACAGUGAAGUAUCCACUGGGAAUGUUUUUUCCUUAUUAUAGAACUAUUAAUAGAAAUUUAUAGAAGUUACUUCUUGUGAAAGUGCAUACUUACUCAACUUUAUGGCUAUCAUACAUUUUCCAUGUCAUGCCAUGUUUUAUUUACUCACAUAGCCUUUUAUGCCUUUAUGUUUGAAAACUUUAGAAUAAAAUAAUUACUAUUAGAAGUUUAACUUUGGAGACAUGUUCAAUUGUCCAGAAAGAAAGGAACCUAGCAUGUAUAUAGAUGUACAUCUGUAAUACUAUCCAUCUGAAGGCUAAGAGAGUAAUGUAUUAUUAUUAUUUCUUCUAUUUUGGGUGAUUAUAAUAUAAUUACAUCUCUCCCUUCCUUAUUCCCCUUCCAAAUCCUCUUAUACUUACAACUCCCUACUCUCUUUUAAAUUGAUGGCCUCCCUUUUCACUGUAUUAUUAUUGUAUGAAUAUAUAUAAACACACACAUUCCUAAAUAUAACCUGUUUAGUCCAUGUAAUGUUGCAUGUAUGUGUGGGUAUCUGUGUGUGGUAUGUGUAUGUGUGAGUGAAGGGCAGACUAUGGAUCCAUCUUUCUAUCCCCUAGGCAGUAAUACCUUGAACUUAAGGCUAAAUUAAAGUAUAUAAGGCAUAAGGAAACAAUGUCAAACC
rnacentral:lncRNA from 1 species